UACGUAGAGUGCAGGCGUUAAUCGGAAUUACUGGGCGUAAAGCGUGCGCAGGCGGUUUGCUAAGACAGGUGUGAAAUCCCCGGGCUUAACCUGGGAACUGCGCUUGUAACUGGCAAGCUAGAGUGUGGCAGAGGGGGGUGGAAUUCCACGUGUAGCAGUGAAAUGCGUAGAUAUGUGGAGGAACACCGAUGGCGAAGGCAGCCCCCUGGGAUGUGACUGACGCUCAUGUACGAAAGCGUGGGGAGCAAACAGG
rnacentral:rRNA from 1 species